rnacentral:tRNA from 1 species
GUGGUAUUAGCUCAGUCGGUUUAGAGCGCGUCUCUGUGGAAGACGAGGUCGCCAGUUCGAAUCUGGUAUACCACC